rnacentral:lncRNA from 1 species
UUCCCUACAAAUCCUUCUGCCUUGUCUUUUGUUCAUGUUUUGUUUGCAGGAAGAAUUGAGAAAGGCAAGGAUAGGAAGUGGAUAUGGCUUAUGAAGCUUGGAGAAACUUUACCCACUCCGCACGGUUUUGCCAUUAGCUUCUGGUUCAAGCGAAAUGCCUUCCCCGCUGCCCUACCAUACAAGGAAAUUGAGGCCUUGGAAGGUUAAACCAGCCUAGCGUCAGAGAACACAGUCUGUCCUGAGUUCUGACUGCUGCU